ACACACGUGUUACAAUGGCCGGUACAGACGGAGACGAAGCCGCGAGGCGGAGCAAAUCCGAAAAAGCCGGUCUCAGUUCGGAUUGCAGGCUGCAAUUCGCCUGCAUGAAGUCGGAAUCGCUAGUAAUCGCAGGUCAGCAUACUCGCGGUCCGAAUACGUUCCGGGCCUU
rnacentral:rRNA from 1 species